AUUGAACGCUGGCGGCAUGCCUUACACAUGCAAGUCGAACGGCAGCACGGGAGCAAUCCCGGUGGCGAGUGGCGAACGGGUGAGUAAUAUAUCGGAACGUGCCCAGUCGUGGGGGAUAACGUAGCGAAAGCUACGCUAAUACCGCAUACGAUCUAUGGAUGAAAGCGGGGGAUCGCAAGACCUCGCGCGAUUGGAGCGGCCGAUAUCAGAUUAGGUAGUUGGUGAGGUAAAGGGCUCACCAAGCCGACGAUCUGUAGCUGGUCUGAGAGGACGACCAGCCACACUGGGACUGAGACACGGCCCAGACUCCUACGGGAGGCAGCAGUGGGAAUUUUGGACAAUGGGCGCAAGCCUGAUCCAGCAAUGCCGCGUGCAGGAUGAAGGCCCUCGGGUUGUAAACUGCUUUGUACGGAACGAAAGGUUUCUAUUAAUACUAGGAGCUCAUGACGGUACCGUAAGAAUAAG
rnacentral:rRNA from 1 species